CCUACGGGAGGCAGCAGUAGGGAAUCUUCCGCAAUGGACGAAAGUCUGACGGAGCAACGCCGCGUGAACGAUGAAGGCCUUCGGGUCGUAAAGUUCUGUUGUUAGGGAAGAACAAGUGCUAGUUGAAUAAGCUGGCACCUUGACGGUACCUAACCAGAAAGCCACGGCUAACUACGUGCCAGCAGCCGCGGUAAUACGUAGGUGGCAAGCGUUGUCCGGAAUUAUUGGGCGUAAAGCGCGCGCAGGCGGUUUCUUAAGUCUGAUGUGAAAGCCCCCGGCUCAACCGGGGAGGGUCAUUGGAAACUGGGAAACUUGAGUGCAGAAGAGGAAAGUGGAAUUCCAAGUGUAGCGGUGAAAUGCGUAGAGAUUUGGAGGAACACCAGUGGCGAAGGCGACUUUCUGGUCUGUAACUGACGCUGAGGCGCGAAAGCGUGGGGAGCAAACAGGAUUAGAUACCCUGGUAGUCCACGCUGUAAACGAUGAGUGCUAAGUGUUAGAGGGUUUCCGCCCUUUAGUGCUGAAGUUAACGCAUUAAGCACUCCGCCUGGGGAUACGGUCGCAAGACUGAAAACUCAAAAUGAAAUUGACGG
rnacentral:rRNA from 1 species